GACAGAGGGUGCAAACGUUGUUCGGAAUUACUGGGCGUAAAGCGCGUGUAGGCGGCAGGGCAAGUCGGAUGUGAAAGCCCACGGCUCAACCGUGGAAGUGCACCCGAAACUGCCCCGCUAGAGUCUCGGAGAGGAAGGUGGAAUGCUUGGUGUAGAGGUGAAAUUCGUAGAUAUCAAGCGGAACACCGGUGGCGAAGGCGGCCUUCUGGACGAUGACUGACGCUGAGACGCGAAAGCGUGGGGAGCAAACAGGAUUAGAAACCCCCGUAGUCC
rnacentral:rRNA from 1 species